rnacentral:tRNA from 1 species
GGGCACGUAGCUCAACUGGCAGAGCAGGGGACUCUUAAUCCCAAGGUUGCGGGUUCGAUUCCCGCCGUGCUCACCA